AUCAACUUGCAAAUAAUUGUUUUUUUUUAAAAAAAAACUUAGCGCAAAUAAGAGCACCUUCCGAAAGCUAUUAUGAAUAGACCCGGCUACUGUUUGUGGGCUGGGCUAAUAAUAGGGUAGGUUCCAGGGAGUCGGAGUUUAGGUCUGUAUUUGAAAGUGCUCCAGUCUAGUCCAGUCCAGUUAAAAAUACUGAUGCGCUUCUCUACUCCGCCCAUACACGGAGGCAGCAGAAAUUUCAAUUUUCUGCAGAACUGGCUGAUACAACCAAGAUUUCAUAAAUUGCAACAACGAAAAGCAGACAAAGAGUGUCUUUGUCUAUGUCCUGGUGGUAUGUGAGGUGUACACCGAAGAAAUUCCAUCGAAAGCAUGAAUCCUUUGUUGGAGGACCUCCAAGAGGACGCUUUGCGGUGAAAGGCGUCUCAUAUGGACAAGUCUUUUACUCACCAUCAACAAAGACCGUGUCAAUUAAUGAGUACCUCAGCAGUAGAGCCAGUGACACCAUUAAGGACAAGAUAAGAAGAUCGCUUGAGAUGUUUUAAUCAUACUUAAAGUUGACCAACGGAUGCACUGGUGGAGAAGAGUCAUCAAAUUGAGAAAUUUGAGGCAGUGGGAGGAGAUAAUUAAAAUUAUGGAGGGUGCAGUGAUAGCAAUAUUAUCACAUUAACUUGCAGAAAGUCUAUCCCUUGACAGAAUCCAUUGGAGGAGGCAGAGUUAUGUAGUCAACUCCAACUAGUUUGGACUGAGACUUGAUUUAUUUAAAUUUUCCAGAGUACAUGCACAAAAACUUGCAUACUAUCUACAUGCCCCUGGAAUUUGAUUCAUGUUCCUUUUAGAAUCUUAACUUUAUUUAAAUUGGUCACCUGUAUUUGUGAGUUGCAUAGGCAAAUAAUGGUGCUUGCUCCAUGGAAAAAGUUGCAUAGGCAAAUUGAUCACCUGUAUUAGAUUAAAUGAAACUUUUUUUAUAUUAUUGUAACAACCGGUGUUGGUUAGGUUUUGUUACACUAUGAGAGAAAAAAUAGUCUCAAAUGCUGCCCUCACCGGUUUGAUAAUGAAUCCAGAAAUGUCCAAAGAUGCAAAAGGUUGAUCUAAACUUGAGAGCUUUUAUAUCUAAGCUUGAGCGUUAUGAUAUGAUGGAAUGUGAAAACAAGUCGUUAUGCAUCCAUGUUCACUUAACAGCAGAAAUUUUGAGGUUUUUACCAGUCUAUUUUGGACCUCUUGUAAGCAUAUACCUGAAUUGGAAGAUGAUACAACAUUUCCUCCCCUCCAACUAUGCCGAGAGGACUUGAAUUCUGAAUACGUUUCCAGUCUGCUUGGAACUUCCAAAGCAUAUACCUGAAAGGAAGAUGAUUCAGCGUCCCCUUGCACCAACUUCGGUGAGAGAACUUGGAUCAGACACGGAAAAUAUUCUGGGCCAGAAACAGGAACUUUUAAUUCUUCAAGAAUUCUGUCGGCAGGUAGGAAGUACCAAUAUCAACCCGAGUGUGGUCUCUUCUUGAAGAGCAAUUUCCAUGAAAUUCCUUAGCACUGGAAGAGUUUAGAGAAAAAAUACUGCCUGCAAUUUUAGUCGUGAAUUUGGACAUCCUAUGCUGACUCUCAAUUCAGUAUUUUCAAGCCGACUUAAAAUAGCAAAGAAUACCAACCGAGUGAGGAGACAAGUAGCCGAAAAGAGCCAAAAAUGCCAAAUCAUUAGGAUACCAUUCUCUGGUUUCGAGGUCCCACUUUUGAGCAUCUCCUCAUUUUUCUCAUCCGUGACCUGCAAGAAUUAAUAUAACUCAGUCAAACCAAAUAGCGUGUGAGACAUCAAUUAUGAUUGAAUUUUACUAUUUGUUUUUUUUUAAUUCGUAUAUAAGUAUAUGAUCCACUUGUAUUUUUUUAA